rnacentral:rRNA from 1 species
UACGUAGGGGGCAAGCGUUGUCCGGAUUUAUUGAGCGUAAAGAGCGUGUAGGCGGCCAUGUAGGUCCGUUGUGAAAACUCGAGGCUCAACCUCGAGACGCCGAUGGAAACCAUGUGGCUAGAGUCCGGAAGAGGAGUGUGGAAUUCCUGGUGUAGCGGUGAAAUGCGCAGAUAUCAGGAGGAACACCAAUGGCGAAGGCAGCACUCUGGGACGUGACUGACGCUGAGACGCGAAAGCGUGGGGAGCAAACAGGG